UUAAAACAAACCGAAAGUUGCUUCCGAAAGAAGAACCAUCGCUGUCUCUUGCAACUCAAAGAGACAUUUUCUAAGUAGAAGAUUCACAAGGAUUUGCGGCAUAACUAUGUAAAGGAAGGAAGAUAUCACCAUCAUACAUGUCAGGUUUCUUGUUUCCCAGAAGACAGGUCUCAGAGAUGGGAUAUUUGAACUGUGGACAAAGGGACAUCAGUGUGGUAUAAGGUAC